CUGGAAGGUAGCAUACUACUUGGAAACCUCUGGCUCAGUCAGCAAGUGGGGAAAGAGUGGUUUCGCCAGUGCCAGGGUUUGCUGCCAGAAAUGUGUUUGAAUUUGAGAAAAAGCCUCUAGGCCUGAGCUUCUCAAGAAGGCCUUCGCUGAACUUAUCCUUAGUAUACGGAAGCUGCAAAUGAGACACGAGGUCACACAGGGAAUUUGGAGAGCAUGUGCUGAAAGGCCCAUCCGGAAGUCAAUCUGCUUCAUCAACAAGUUGUCAGGGCGUGUCUCUGACAUCACACAAUAGGCCCAAAGAACCAAAGCCUCUUACACUUAAUCCUGAUUAUCUUGGGUGACCCGUGGCUUCCUGCACAUGUUUUUGUAAGGACAAUGUAUGAGUAGACAUCACACCCAGACUGGCCUCUCAUUCUGGCCAUCUGCUUCUUUGAGCAUGUGGUGCUGGUCUUUCUCCUUGAGAUGAAAAUUGGUGAAAACUGGUGCCGUGUUCUUCAGUAUCAAGUUACACUGCCCUGCUUCUGUGUUUAUCAGGCUUGGUUCUAAGACUCAGGAACAAUCUGAAUGAUGUCCUUUUCAGAAAAUGACUUCCUGGAGGGCGUUUUCGACAAUAUCAGAGUUCUUCUGAGGAUCGAUAAAGAUUGCUAAGCAAAUGUUUCUGUGCUUUGAGUUGAGCAUCAGUUAUCCUAUUUAGCUAUUAUAUACAAUUCUACCAAGGCUACUGAUUAUCGGUCCAAAGGAAAACUGUGUCCUUGAUUCAUCAUCUAAGGGAGGACUUGUUUAUUAGACCAGGUGUCCUAUGCAUUACCAACACAGAGGCUUUCCAUCAAAUCAUUCCACCCUUCAAUAAUCACUGUUUUGUCCCUGGAAUAAGUAGAGAUCAUUAACAUGUUCUAUACUAAAUGCAGAAUAAAUCCACCUCAAGAAGAAAUUGAACAACAAUAUUUAGUUUUGGUCAAACUUGGAUCUAAACCAUGGGAAUUUUUAUAUUUAAUUCUGUCAUUAAUUUUAGCUGGAAAAUUGGGAUAUGAGGUAUUUUAGUGAUGUUUUAAAAUCAUUAUUUUAUGCUGUUUCUUGGAAAAGAAGCUAAUGACGAUUAAAAAUUGAAAGGUUUUUGUCUUUGCCUUUUUUUUGCUGAAACAAAUUUUAUAGAGUUCAAAAGCAGUAACAGUUAUGACUGUUAAAGUCAAAGGCAGAAAUGUGAGACAUUCCAAAUUAAGAAAGUGUCGAUAUGAACAGCGGAACACAAUAGACCCAGAAAUAUAAGCCAUUCUUGAAAUGUGUGAUCUCAGAUAGCCAAUUUACAUAAAAUGGGGAAAGCCCAAAGGAAAAGAAUUCCAGCCUCUUCAGAUAUCUUCUCUUCCAAUAGAUAUUUUUUUAAUCUCAAUUAAUUUUCCCAUCUGUCCUGGGAAUUAGGGAAAUCUUUAUUGUUAUAGUGUUAAACAGCUGUUAGGUCCCACAUUUUUAUCUGUGAUUCUAGUUAAGAUUUCCUAAAACACACUGAAUUAUAGUAUAUUAACAUUUUUUG